AGGAUGAACGCUGGCGGCGUGCCUAACACAUGCAAGUCGAACGGUAACAGGUUCUCACUGUUUGCUUCUCACUUCUCGAAUAUUUCGAGUAGAUGAAUGAGGAGUGAAGAGUGAGAAUGCUGACGAGUGGCGGACGGCUGAGUAACGCGUGGGAACAUGCCCCAAAGUGAGGGAUAACUGCUCGAAAGGGUAGCUAAUACCGCAUAUGAUCUUCGGAUUAAAGCUUUAUGCGCUUUGGGAGUGGCCCGCGUCGGAUUAGGUAGUUGGUGAGGUAAAGGCUCACCAAGCCUACGAUCCGUAGCUGGUCUGAGAGGAUGACCAGCCAGACUGGAACUGAGACACGGUCCAGACUCCGUACGGGAGGCAGCAGUGAGGAAUCUUCCACAAGUGGGGC
rnacentral:rRNA from 1 species